UACGGAGGGAGCUAGCGUUGUUCGGAAUUACUGGGCGUAAAGCGCACGUAGGCGGCUUUGUAAGUUAGAGGUGAAAGCCCGGGGCUCAACCCCGGAAUUGCCUUUAAGACUGCAUCGCUUGAAUCCGGGAGAGGUGAGUGGAAUUCCGAGUGUAGGGGUGAAAUUCGUAGAUAUUCGGAAGAACACCAGUGGCGAAGGCGGCUCACUGGACCGGUAUUGACGCUGAGGUGCGAAAGCGUGGGGAGCAAACAGG
rnacentral:rRNA from 1 species